rnacentral:rRNA from 1 species
AACCUUUACACUGCACGACAGUGCGAUAGGGAGACACCGAGUGCGAGGGCAUAGAGCCCUCGCUUUUGUAGACCGUAAGGAGGUCUACGAAUAAGGGCUGGGCAAGACCGGUGCCAGCCGCCGCGGUAACACCGGCAGCCCAAGUGAUGGCCGAUAUUAUUGGGCCUAAAGCGUCCGUAGCUGGCCACACAAGUCCGUCGGGAAAUCCACUCGCUUAACGAGUGGGCGUCCGGCGGAAACUGUGCGGCUUGGGACCGGAAGAUCCGAGGGGUACGUCUGGGGUAGGAGUGAAAUCCCGUAAUCCUGGACGGACCACCGAUGGCGAAAGCACCUCGGAAGGACGGAUCCGACAGUGAGGGACGAAAGCUAGGGUCUCGAACCGGAUUAGAUACCCGGGUAGUCCUAGCCGUAAACGAUGCUCGCUAGGUGUGGCGCAGGCUACGAGCCUGCGCUGUGCCGUAGGGAAGCCGUGAAGCGAGCCGCCUGGGAAGUACGUCUGCAAGGAUGAAACUUAA